CAGUCGCCGCGGGAAUACAGAGGGUGCGAGCGUUAAUCGGAUUUACUGGGCGUAAAGCGUGCGUAGGCGGCUUUUUAAGUCGGAUGUGAAAUCCCUGAGCUUAACUUAGGAAUUGCAUUCGAUACUGGGAAGCUAGAGUAUGGGAGAGGAUGGUAGAAUUCCAGGUGUAGCGGUUAAAUGCGUAGAGAUCUGGAGGAAUACCGAUGGCGAAGGCAGCCAUCUGGCCUAAUACUGACGCUGAGGUACGAAAGCAUGGGGAGCAAACAGGAUUAGAGACCCCGGUAGUCCCUGUCUCUUAUAC
rnacentral:rRNA from 1 species